rnacentral:rRNA from 1 species
GAGUUUGAUCAUGGCUCAGAUUGAACGCUGGCGGCAUGCCUUACACAUGCAAGUCGAGCGGAUGAUGGGAGCUUGCUCCUUGAUUCAGCGGCGGACGGGUGAGUAAUGCCUAGGAAUCUGCCUGGUAGUGGGGGACAACGUUUCGAAAGGAACGCUAAUACCGCAUACGUCCUACGGGAGAAAGCAGGGGACCUUCGGGCCUUGCGCUAUCAGAUGAGCCUAGGUCGGAUUAGCUAGUUGGUGGGGUAAUGGCUCACCAAGGCGACGAUCCGUAACUGGUCUGAGAGGAUGAUCAGUCACACUGGAACUGAGACACGGUCCAGACUCCUACGGGAGGCAGCAGUGGGGAAUUUUGGACAAUGGGGGCAACCCUGAUCCAGCCAUGCCGCGUGUGUGAAGAAGGUCUUCGGAUUGUAAAGCACUUUAAGUUGGGAGGAAGGGCAGUAAGUUAAUACCUUGCUGUUUUGACGUUUACCGACAGAAUAAAGCACCGGCUAACUCUGUGCCAGCA